rnacentral:rRNA from 1 species
UGGGGAAUAUUGGGCAAUGGGCGAAAGCCUGACCCAGCAACGCCGCGUGGAGGAAGAAGGUUUUCGGAUCGUAAACUCCUGUCCUCAGGGAAGAGAAGGAGACGGUACCUGAGGAGGAAGCCCCGGCUAACUGCGUGCCAGCAGCCGCGGUAAUACGUAGGGGGCAAGCGUUGUCCGGAAUGAUUGGGCGUAAAGGGCGCGUAGGCGGCCCGGUAAGUCUGGAGUGAAAGGCGGGGGCUCAACCCCUGGACUGCAUUGGAAACUGUUAGUCUUGAGUGCCGGAGAGGUAAGCGGAAUUCCUAGUGUAGCGGUGAAAUGCGUAGAUAUUAGGAGGAACACCAGUGGCGAAGGCGGCUUACUGGACGGUAACUGACGUUGAGGCUCGAAAGCGUGGGGAGCAAACAGGAUUAGAUACCCUGGUAGU